AUGCUGGCAGUGGAGGUAUGCAACUUUCAGAGGGGCCAGAGAGUUUCCGAUAUCUAGAUUUGAAUUCAUUCCAAAUGCAGUCUGGGUUCUUCCUGGGAAAUAUCUCUGCAGGAGAGACCACGCAGGCCUGGAGACCAGAGAGAACACUGUCGAUGUGUGCUCAUACUUCUGAAAAAUAUGAAAUGCGCUGAACUACACAAGCUUAACGAAAAUGAAACAAACUAACAAGUUACUUCCUUUAGAAGUGGCUCGUUAAACACACUGUUUAGACUUUAUUUGCAUAAAAGUGCUCCGGUUUAGAACGUCAAGUUUAAAUGUCUCUGAAUGUUAAUAAUAUAUAGAACAGUUUCUAAUGCAACCUAGAUAUGGCCUUAUAAGGCUUAGCUGGCUAACGCAGCUAGUACCAAGCUUUAAUGUAUGGCUAAAUGUUAGCUACAAAAAACUAAAACGCUCAGUUUUCUCAUUCCUUUCAGCCCUUAACACCAUCCAUGAGUACUGAUAAAUAUUCUCCGGGGUAAAUGAAGAGUCCAUGCCGUUUAGACUGUGCUGAGUCCGAGCCGGCUCGCGCGAAUAGCUUUAGCGUCCAUAUUGACCGCAGUGUUAACGCCAACCGUGCUGUCCUGAGGAAAAUAACACCAAUUAUUUCGGUUUGAAGGGACUGUAGAAACAGCAGAAGGCAAGGAAAGGCAUUUUGAGGUGGUGUAAGAGUAAGAUAGUCUGGUAUACUCCAAAGGAAAGCUUGAAACAAAAGCCAUUUUGACGUUUGAGUGGAAGCGUGCGUCGGUUCUUCAACUGUCAGUCUUCUGUCACCUCCUCAAUCGAGCCCAGCUGCCGCGUUUUUCGGAAAAAAAUACUGUAAGUUGAAGGAGAAAAAAACGGCUGUACCGUCAAAAUCGAGUCAAAGCAAUCUCCUUGAAGUUACAAAAAAGUAGUUUCACUUUUAAUACGUUUUAAAUAGAAAUACUUGGUAUUCAGACUCGUUGACGUCGCCGUUGCCGUUGUGCUCGCUAGCCGCGGAGCUAAAGAGAGAUUUCAUCAGAAAAGCUGUAAGGGAGCGUCUCUAAAUUUCAGUAGCACUAGCGCGCGCUUAGGGACCGUGGUAAAAUUCCGAUCUCACGUGGUAAAUUGAUACGUGUGUUAUAUAAGAUGUUCAGUGCAUGUCACGCAAUGCACGGGCAAUGCAUAAAUCCCUCAUGAUCUUCUAAAUCUUUAACGCGACGCUCUAUUCCUGCUUCUAGUAGUUGUGACCAAUCUAGUCUAAGUCCAGUGAGACUUUCAGCAUGAAUUUGACAGAUCCAUUAGUGCCUUGGCUUGUUUUUGGAAAACUUCCCUGUGCAGAAUCCCUCAGGCAUAGAACUAAUGCUUCAUGAGGAAUUGACUGCAGAUGCCAUAUGAUAAAAGCAUAUUUCUUCUUCUUUUUUGAUUUUCACUAAAUAUCAAUAUGUGGACACAUAGGCCAGUCUUUAUUAAAGCAAUAUCGCAAGAGUUUUCCAUUCCCUGCUCUCUGGUAACAGCAAUCCUGGGGUGCAAGGGAAAACAAAACAAAACAAGAAACACCCAACUCUGGUCUAAUUUAUAGGUCUGUACUCUAUUUACCUAUCUAUUUGAUGUGAAAGAGAGAUGAAUUUUAUUCCCUGGUUGUCCUAAUUAAAUUUAUUCUCAGUGGAAUGAUGUAAAUUGUUACAUUAACAUGGAUACAUGAGAAAUGUCAUCAGAAUUCUCUGGAGGAGUAUUAGAACAAUGAGUAAUGUGGAAGAACAUAGACUGUUCAGAUAGGCAAUUAAAGCCUUUAUGAUAAACCUGAGUCUGAUGUAAUCCUUACCUCAGUGUGAUGACAGACAAAACAGCAUAUGGGAAAGUCACUGGUGUCUCAGUAAAGCGGAUUGUUGUGGUCAGUCGUGCCCAACUGAGAUUCAACAUGGAAUCAGUGUGAAUGUGCAUCUAUACAAGACUUGCACAAGUUUCAUCAUUUAACAUUGAUCAUUGCACCAUCUUUGUAGAGGUUUAUUUGGCCCAACAAAGGCAAACUGGUAGCCAAGGCAAGAAACACACAGUAUUCAAAUCGGUUUCCUUGUGCAUUUAUUAAGUGCAAAUAAAGUUUAAAAACAUGGUUUGAAAUUAGAAGAGAAAACAAAUCUUUUCUUGAAAUGGAAAAAAAAAAAAAAAAAAAAAAAAAAAAAAAAAGGAAUAAAGCCCAUUUAUAAUCCAUAAAUCACAUCAAAAUUAGAUUCUCAGCAUUUACAUAUGCCAACCCUGUUGAUUUUACUCGCACAUUCUCUUUAGUUAUUAAAAUAAGGAUCACAGAUGUUAUAAAAGUUCUAUACCUUUAAACCCAAACUUUUCUGCACAUUCACAACAAAAACGAUUUUCUAAAACACUCAGUUUUCCCAUAAGAGUUGGCAUGCAAUCAUACAAUCAUUUCCCAUUAGGUUAAACAUCACACAGCAGUGCCCUUUGGAAAAAACACACACAUAAUCAUUCGUCGUUUGAAAGAAAGUUCAAUACUUUAUUAAAAAAAAAAAAAAAAAAAAAAAAAAAAAAA